rnacentral:misc_RNA from 1 species
UCUCCGUAGGUGAACCUGCGGAAGGAUCAUUAUUGUAUUACCAAAGUGCGAACCCUUUCUCUACGCCGAUAGCAGUUGCACGCCCGGCGAGCCUCACACGCAUCCAUCCGACGCCUAUAUACACCACCGCUGGGGUACCCCUUUUCCGUUUUCUUAUGGAGUCAGACAUUUUCACCCACACUUGAUAUCCUGUGUAUGGUGUCUUUGUUGUUUUUACGAGCACGCAAGCAAUACAACUUUAAACAACGUCUCUCUUCGCUCUCGCAUCUAUGAACAACG